rnacentral:lncRNA from 1 species
CUCAAACCAGCCUCCACGAACGUCGUAUCUAACCAAAAUCAGAGCGAAUACAUCACAAUAUGCUAAGAGAACAAUACCUAAUAAAAAACAAUCGAAAAAUAGCAAAAAUCUCGAAACUAGCAAAAUUUGAGCCCCGUGCCCGCUUUCCGAAAAAUUACGAAAUUUACAUUACCAGAUUCUUCGUCUCGCCACGAGUUCAUACAUACCAAGAGCUCCCAAUUCCGAGCUCAAAUGACCUAUCAAAUCCUAAUUUUGAAAUAUCAAGAACUCAAGCGCACCUCCAAUCGUUUCUCCUUGAAUCCCUCUUCAAUUUCCUUCAAAAAGCUCCCAAAAAGGUCGACAAUGGGGAAAAAUGACCCAAGAUCGCGGAAUCAAAUGACACUAUAAAAUCCCUUUCCUGUCCAGCCCUUGUCGCAUCUGCAAUCACAGAACCGCUUCUGCGGACUCCCAAUUAAGGGGUAUGACCUCUUCUGCUGCCCAAAACUCGCACUCGCUCCUGCCGUCAAUACUUCUGCUUCUGCAGAGCCCUACCUGAGCUCGACUUCCACUUCUGUGCCUAUUCGUCCGCUUCCGCGAUACCGCACCUGCGUUUUCAAAACCGCAGGUGAGAAAACACCAAACACCAGCAACCUAAAAACAUGCAACAACUCCAAAACUCUCCGUUUAACUACCUGAACUAACCCCGAGGCCCUCGGGUCCUCAAUCAAACAUGCCAACAUAUUCCAUAACAUCACUCAAACUCGUUCCAAUCAUUACAACACUAAAAUCAUCAAUUCUCAUCGUAUUCAAGUCUAAGUUCUUUAAAAUCAUCCGAAACAUGCAUUCGAUCAAAAACUCAACCAAACGACGUCCGAAUGAUCUGAAAUUUUGCACACACAUCAAAAAUCACAUAUCGAAGAUACAACAACUCUCAGAAUUCCAUUCCGACCCUCGAAUCAAAAUCUCACCUAUCAACUGGAAUUUGCCAAAAUACUAACUUCUCAAAUUCAAGCCUAAUUUUGUACCGGACCUCCAAAAUGAAUUCCAAUCACGCUCCUAAGUCAAAAAUAACCCCCCUCCCCCUCCCCCUGAAGCUAACUGAAUCGCCGAAAAUCACAUCCGAACCUUCUAACUGAUAAGUCAACGUCCUGUUGACUUUUACAAAACAAGCAUUCCUUAAAGAGACUAAGUGUCCCAUUUUCUACCAAAUCCAAUCCAACUCAAUUCUAACACACCAACAUUGAGAAUGAAAUAUGAAGAAGCAUAAAACGAGAAAAAUAGAGCAGUAACUCAUAAGACGAUUGGUCAGGUCGUCACAUUUGACAAAGUUUCUUCUCCUACUGAUAAAACUUACAAGUUUAGUAUAUUUUACUUAAUAGGAGAAGUCGGAAUUCUUUCUUUUUUUGGUCUUGAUAUCAAUAAGGAUUAUGCUUUUGACAACUAAUCUGAGCCGCGCUUGUAUCAUUGGUAUAAACUUUGUAAUAUCUAUGUGUAGUUCGCUUCUACUUCUUUCACCAUCGUGUGGAGAUCUUAAAGCAUCUAUAAAGAUAAAAUGUUCUCCAACAUUUAUAGUUAUUUUGCACUCCAAGUGCUCUAAGGUUUUGAUUUAAAUUAAUUUUUGGUGUACAUAGUUUGGUAUAUCUGUUACUCCUAUUAUAUAACAAAAAUAGUGACUUCACUAAAAUGAAGAUUGUGGGCAUAUGAUCUUCAGGUUUGUUCUUGAAGUAGAGACAGUAAAUGCAAAAUUUUAGUAUAUGUUUAUAGCCGUUAAAGCAUUUUUAUCAACUUCCAAGAUAAUCUUUUCUUUCAAAAUAUGGUUAGAAGUGCAUGUUGUUACUUUGUUAUUACUUAGUAUUUGGGAUGAACCUCGGUGUCCAUGCCUCUUUCAAAUUGUGUUUUAUUACUUAAUUUGUACACGAAAGUUUUUUUAGAUUUUUUACAUAGAGAAAUGAAAUUUUCAAUUAUUAGGAACGGUUAUGUUUCAUUAUGUAAUCCAUAAAAUAAUAUGAGUGCGUAGAAUAAAGUUAAACGAACUUGGAGCAAGUAGGAGAGACCAAGAUAAAUCUCACUAAAAUACAAUAAGUUGAAAAUGUAUCUAAGCAACACAAAUAAAAUUAUUAUCAAAAACUGAAACUUGCACACUUAAUUGCCUUGAUUUGUUACAUAUACAAAUUAAAAGAUGAUUUAAAUUAUUUAUUGUACAAAAAUAGUCUAUUAUCUUAAGAUAUAAUUUUAAAAAUAGUUGUAAGGAUUACAUGUGUGAGGCACAUGAUAUAGAGACUAUUAUACUAUAUUAAAAGCACGAAGGCCCUUAACGAAAUGUCGUUCGCCUUUUUUACCUUUAAAAAUAAGUUUUUACAUCGGAUAAAAUCGUAAUUAAAUUAUUAUCCUAAUAUUUAGGUGUGACGAUCCGGCCCAUCAUCACGUGAGUUACCUUCCCGUUUCCCUUAUUUUAUGCUUUUCCAUGUUUCGUUAUCGGUAUUCGGUGUGUUGGAGUUAAAUCGGAUUGGUUUUGAUAAGAAAUGAGACACUUAGUCUCUUUAAGGAAGAUUUAUUUUGGAAAAGUCAACCAGAUGUUGACUUAUGAGUUAGAGAGCUCUGAAGUGAUUUCCGGUGAUUUGGUUAGCUUUGAGGGAUGAUUUGAGACUUAGGAGUGUGAUCGGAAGUGGUUUUGGAAGACCGGUGUAGGAAUAUGCUUGAAUUGGCCAAGUUAGUGUUUUGGUGAUUUUCGUUCGAUAGGUGACAUUUUGAUCCGAGGGUCGGAAUGAAAUUCUGAGAGUUGCAGUAGCUUCGUUAGGUGAUUUGGGAUGUGUGUGAAAACUUUCAAACAAUUCGGAGGUAAUUUGGUCGAGUUUUUGAUCGAUUAGAAUAAUUUAGUCUUGAAUCCAAUGUAAUGUGAUAGUUUUGGUGUUGGUGGUGGUGUUUUUAUGAUUGGAGCGAGUUUAAAUGAUAUAUUUGAAUUGGUUGGAACUGUUGGUUGAGGUCUCGGGGGCCUUGGGGUAUUUCGGAUGGCCAGCGGGGCUAAUUUUGGACUUGGGAGAUUGCUGCUAUAUCUGAUAUCUGGUAUUUCUGCAUCUACGGAAAAGGGACUACAGAAGCAGUUCCGUAGAUGCGGUAAGGGAGGUGCAGAAGCAUCAUUUGGGCUCAGGGUAGGUUCCGCAUAAGCAAAAGCCCGAACCGCAGAAGCAGUCUCGCUGGUGCGAUUUUAGGACCGCAGAAGCGGUCAUGGCCUUAAGUGAAAAUCCGAUGAAGCGGAUAUGGAGCGCGGGAGCGGUGGCCACAGAAGCGAGAUGGGCACAGCAUAUGCGGUUUUGCCUGGGCAGUUAAAUGAAAUAUUCAUCUUCGCGAAUUUUUGAAAGAACUCAAUAUUUUCACUUCAGACUUGGAGGCUUUUGUAUGAUUUUGGAGGUGGAAUCAAGGUACUUCAUUGAGGUAAGGAAUUCUGAGCCUAAAACAUGAAUCUAAUGUGUUAAUACAUGAACUAAGGGUGAAAAAUCAAGAUCAAAAGUGGAGGUUAGGGCUUGAACUUAAGAUAAGAAAGAAUGGGGAUUUGAGGGGCUAAUAGAACUCCGAUUCUGGUAAUUUUUACAUGAAUAGACUCUUGGCGAGAUAAUAAAUCCAAUGAUGUUAAAUUUUCCGACUUUCGAGAAGUGGGACCGGGGCUCGGGUUUUGCUAUUUCGUGAAUUUUGAUAUUUUUCGAGUCCUUUCGAUUGGGUUGUGUUCCCUUAGCCUAUUGUAACAUAUUCGUUGUGAAUUAAGGGUAAUAAAUUAAGGAAUUUUGGAUAAAAAAUGGACGUUAGGGCUUGAACUUAAGAGAAGGAAGAAUGGGGAUUUGUGGGGUCAAAUGGACUCCGAUUUUGAUGAUUUUCAUAUGUAUAGACUCGUGGAGAGAUAAGGAAUCCGAUGAUAUUAAUUUUUUUGACUUUUGAGAAGUGGGCCUAGGGAUCGAGUUUUACAAAUUUCGUGAAUUUCGAUAUUUUUCGAGUCUUUUCGAUUGAGUUAUGUUCCCUUAGGCUAUUGUAAUGUAUUCAUUAUGGUUUUGGCAAGAUUCAACACGCGAGGAGAUUGAUUCGAGAGGAAAGAGCAUAUCGAGCUGGACUUUUGGCCGGCUAGAGGUGAGUAAUAAUUUUAAAUGAUGUCCUGAGGGUUUGAAAACUCGGAUUUGCACAAUGUUGUGCUAUGUUGAGAUGAGACACAUGAUGUAUGAUGAGCGCGGGGUCAUUUACUAUUGGGGAUUGUGACUUGGUCCAUCCCGAUUUAUAUUUUACUAUAUAUUCGCUAAAGAGUUGUUGUUUUCCACUAUGACUUGGGCUUAUCGCCAUGCUUGGGCUUCGUGCCAACUAUUUGAAAUGAUUUUUGAACUCCCAUCACAGUUUCCUCACCAUCUGAAAUAUUAUUUGAACUCAGUCCUACUUGAAUUAUACUAUUUCAUGAACUCAGCUAUAUUUUUACUCAACUUGAGAUUUAAAAUGAUAUUUGAACUAUGUUCGAGCUGAGCACUAUUGUUUUACUGUUGCCCAAGGGGCUUAUGACUAUUUUCUGGAUUGAUUGAGGCCGAGUGUAAGACCCUGUGAAAAUGAGUGCUCAAGUCCUAGCAACUCAUAGAGUCAGGUCCACCUAUGUGUUGGGACCAUUUUCUACUGAUUUUAUACUCACAAAUCCAGAGUCAAUUUUUUCCAAAAAAAUUUCAUUUCUGCGGUCAAGAAUGCGAUCGCAGAUCAGGUAUGCGGACCGCAUCUCGACCGCAAAGUUAAUCAGAGAGUAGUCGAAUUAGAUGCUGGAAAUGCGGUCCAUUAUGCGAUCGCAUAACCAAUAUGCGGACCGCAUAGUCGUCGCAUAAAGUUUUCGAGGAUUUGAAGAGGUCAAUUCUGCAGUGCACAAUGCGACCGCAGAACAAGUAUGCGGACCGCAUUCUCAAGCAUACCCAAGCAGAGAGGCCAACAAUUUGACCAUUCUGCGGUCUAAUAUGCGGACCGCAUGUCAACUUUCCGAUCGCAGAGUUGACCGCAGAUCCUGCACGAGCUUCAGUUUUCUAAUGUUUUUAAACUCGACCCCUUUUCUAAUAAACCACCCCAACCUCUCAUUUUUACAUAUUUUCUGAACAAAACAAGAGAGAGGGAAGGGAGAGUUCUUGAGAGAGAAAAGAUUCUUCAUCAAAUUGAUCCUCCAAAACUAUCCGGGCCAGGAAAUUUUAAGUUAUUGUCUUCAUCUUCACGCUUACAGGUAAAAUCACUUAGCCUUUUCUCCAAUUUUUCAGAUUUAAGCUAAGGGAGGGAGUCUUAUGCAUUGAUUUUGAACUAAUAAUUGAAAACCCUCAUGCAUGCCACUCAAAACCUAAAAUCUAGUAAAGGGAAAUUGGGUAGAAGUAGAGAACUGUGCUUGAUAGCCCAAAAUACCGGUUAGUAAUUGUGAACUUCAAUUCUAAGGUGCAUGUGUUAAUUUGUGAAUUACAUUGACGUACGCUUACAGGUAAAAUCACUUAGCCUUUUCUCCAAUUUUUCAGAUUUAAGCUAAGGGAGGGAGUCUUAUGCAUUGAUUUUGAACUAAUAAUUGAAAACCCUCAUGCAUGCCACUCAAAACCUAAAAUCUAGUAAAGGGAAAUUGGGUAGAAGUAGAGAACUGUGCUUGAUAGCCUAAAAUAAGCCGAUAGUAAUAGUGAACUUUGAUUCUAAGGUGCAUGUGUUAAUUUGUGAAUUAGAUUGACGUGGCUAGAUAUCUUGGUGACUGAGAAUUGGAACUUAAAAGGGGAAUUCGACUCCAGGUAUGUAUGGCUAGCCUUGAUCCUUGUGAAAUAACCUUGCUUGGUAUGUGAAUUGUUUGGUAGCUGAUAUCUAUGUGGGUUAGUUGUGAGCUUCUUGUGACUGCUAUGAUUGUGAAUGCAUCUCGAGGUAAAAGUCAAAGAAUAAGUGAUUGAAGGGAUCUGUAAAGGGUGAAAUAACAUUAUAUGUAAUAACAAUGUACUUGAAAUAUUGUGGGCAUUUUGUGGUAACUUGAAUUGAGUACGAACUAUUGUAAGUAAUGAAAUUGGUGCUAAUAGUUAUGGUAACACUUGUAACCUUAUUGUGGUGAUGUCUUGAGGAAUAUUGUUGUUUAUCCUUGUGAUUUGUUGUUUGGUUGUGAUUAUUGUGAAUUGAAACUGUACGGACGGGUCGGGUUACAUGCUGCAACACGGUGUUAUGAGGUGUGGGUUGUGUUGAUAUGGGUGGCCGAGGUAAUAAGGGUGGAAAAGUGAUUGAAAUCACUAUUGAAAUAAACACUUGAACAAUUUUGUGAAAUUAUUGAAUGUGGAAUUGUGAAAGGAGACAGCAGGAGAGUUUGUAACUUGUGCGGCAAUGACUGCCCCUUUGUUUGACUUAAUUGUACCUUCUAUGUGUGUUUGGUUGCUACUUCCAUUGCUGCUUUUUACUUUCGUAUGGCUUGAGUUUACUUGGGACAAGUUUUGUUCAUAUAUGCCAGUAAAAUUCAAAUGUGCUGACGUCCUUUUUGUUGGGGACGCUAUAUUCGUGUUAUGAUUGUAGGUGGAUCUAUAGCAGGUACUCGGGUCCACCGUCCGUAGCUCUUUCUCAUUCCUGUCAGCUGUAUCGGUGAGCCACUUUCUCUUUCGGGGCCCUGCAUGGCUUAUGCGCCCCUUUCCUUGUAUUUUUGGGAUCUUAUUUUAGUAUGUGUAAAAAUGUAUAGCCGGUAACUUGUAACCGGCAAGUAUUGUACUGUCAUCUUUUAUCCUUAGAGGCUCCGUAGAAAUGAAGUGUGGGCCAUGAACCAUGUAGUGUGUACGAUGUAUUUUGGGCAUUGUAAAUUGUAAACCACGCUAAUAUCACUUAUGUUAUGUAUGUUCUGUUAAAAGAAGUUUCAAUUAUAAAAGCUGUUUCCACUCGGAUAGUAAGUAAUGAGAAAGGUGGGGUAACUCGUGGGUCAGGAAAGGCACCCAGGUCCACUCGACUAGGGAUACCCGGUCGAGUACCGGUCAUGUGCCUCGGAUUUGGGGCAUGACAAUCUUGGUAUCAAAGCCUAAGGUUUAAAAAGAGUCCUAGGUGUCUCAGAGCCUUGCCCAGUAUCACACCCCUUUUUUAGCAGAACCUCUACUAAAUCCUCUUAAAUAAAAAAAAGAUUUAAUUAAAUCUUGAAAAUGGGUUUUCAAUUGAAAAGUGACAAAGAUUGUAUUCAAAAGGAAAACUCAAAGUCACCACCUGAUAUUUGAUUUUGGUGUGUUAGAUCACCAUUUUUUCUAAAAGUAAUAAUUUUCCUUUCAAAAUACUUUGAACUCUAAAACUAAGUCUACAGCAGAGAUUCGGGUAAGGGGUUCAUUUGACUCGGGGAGAAGGUGUUUGGCACUCCCCAAGUCCCGCAAGAUCACGGUUGCAUACUCGAUCUAGUUGGCUUUUAAAACAUUCAAAUUGAGGUAAAAUCAUAGAAAAGCAAAGUAAACACACAUGAAGCUCGAGAUCAUCCCCACCUAAUAAAACAAAAUGAAAUAAGUCUAGCUAGCCUAUACUACGCCUCCAUUGAUGGUGCCGCAACCUCCAUUUACAUUUAAUUUGAGGCAUUCCCCUGUUUAAAAAUAUAUACAAGUCUUUCGGGGCAUUUUCCGAACAAAUUUAACUAAUCAAAGGGACAACCUCGACCUCCAACAAAAUAAAAAUAAAAGAAAAAACAACCUAAAGCUUGCAUACCCGAGCGUUUUCUUAGCGAUCAAAGCAGUAAAAUAAAAUAAUGAACUAUCUUAGGGUCUAACUUAUUUUUUUUAGUAACGUCACCUCCCAUAUCCCAAGUCAGAUAAUUCACAUGAGCCAAACAAUAAGGAACAAAUUAUUCAAAACAUAUAAAUAAUAAGAGAUCUAACAGAUAACUAUUCUAGUAUGUGACUAAUACGUAACUAGUGGAGAAAUACAUAACUACUAUUCAAAAACAAAAAUAACAUUGUAAACAAAGGAUAGAGGGAGAAGAAAGAACCUCAACGAGCCAACUUAUUUUGAUUUCCAAAAGUAAAUUCAAGCAGACUUGCGACGAACUCUGAAGUAAAUGAUUGUAACGCAGCUGCAAGAACCGCAACUCGGACCGAAACCUCAAACAUUAACCCGAACAGCCGCCAUGGAUUACUUGAGAUGAACUCGACUCGCUGAGACUCCACAAUUUGAUAUCCAAAAAAUGGGACUACCGUAUUUUUAAGUUUUCUGAUUUUGAAGUUUCAAGGAAAUUAAAAGAAUUUGCCAUUUUUUAAACGUGAAAAGACUCGAAUUUGCCCAAGUUUUAUCCAAAAAAUGUUCUGUCCAAACAGUUCUGCUCGUCUCCUUCUGUUUCCAUCUGAGACUUUCUAGCUUCUUUUGCUUGCAUUUUUAUUUAUGUUCGUGCGUGUGUGUGCAGUGGGGUGCGUCAAUGGCUGACGAGGGGUGUGGAGUUGGGCGCUGGUGGGCUGUUUCAGGUGAAAAAGCUACCGCUGGUUGUUCUGUUGCCGCUGUCCGGCGUCACAGAGGUUCAGAAGAUGGUUAUGGAGUUCCGGCGGGUUUUGGGCGUGGAGGAGGCGGCGGUGAGCUGUGGGUUCAGGGGUGUUCUGGUGUGAGUUUUUGAAGAAGGGUUAGCUAUUGUGUUUAGUGAGGAAGAUGAAGGAUGUUGAUGUGGGAGGUGAUGGGCGGUAGUUGGUGUUGCGUUUUCCGACGAGUUGUGUUUGGUGGUCUUAGGGGUGGCGGCGGCUGGUCUCUUUUUCUUAGGGUUCUGCUCACUCAUUUUCUCUCCUCUCAUUAGGGAUUAGGUCUUUUUUUA